GAAUUCGCCCUUCGGUAAUUCCAGCUCCAAUAGCGUAUACUAAUGCUGUUGCUGUUAAAAAGCUCGUAGUUCGACAAGGAUCGGAUCUGGUUCUGAUUCAGCGAUGCGUAACUAUGUUGCCGUUGUUCGAUGAAGACCGCUUGGAUCUGGUUCUGCAAUGAGGGACUUGCAUGGAGGAAGAGCUCUUAACUGAGCUUGGACUCGAUUCCGCAGUCAACAUCUGCACAAGUGCAGUCCUUCGCGAUACCGUGAACAAAACAGCGUGCUCAAAGCAAGUGAUUCUGCUCGAAUGUUCAAGCAUGGAAUAUCAAGGAAGCGACCGUGAGUCUAAUCUUUGCUGGUUUCUGUAUCCUCCUUGGGGAAUUAGACCUGAGAAUAAUGCCCUGUUUGUCAAGUUACCUUCGGGUACUUGCAGACAAGGGCUAAGCUCUAGUUUGCCGGUAUUAACAGGGACGAACGGAGCAGUGUGUAUUGGUUGCGUUAGAGGUGAAAUUCUUAGAUCGCACCAAGACAAACAUAAGCGAAGGCAUUCUGCAAGUAUAUCUUCACUAAUCAAGAACGAGAGUGCAGGGAUCGAAGAUGAUCAGAUACCGUCGUAGUCUGCUACUGUAAACGAUGCGAACUCGGGAUCAGCUGUCGCCAAUCAUUUUGAUUACCAGGCUGGAACCUACUUAUUCUCCACUAGCGCGAAAGCUUUAAGUUUAUGCGUUCAGGGGGGAGUACAGUUGCAAGGCUGAAACUUAAAGGAAUUGACGGAAUGACACCACAAGGCGUGGAUGCUGCGGCUUAAUUUGACUCAACACGGGAAAUCUCACCAGGUCAGGACGCACGUUGGAUUGACAGAUUGAAAGCUCUUUCUUGAUUGUGUGUAUGGUGGUGCAUGGCCGCUCUUUGUUCGUGGAUUGAUCCGUCAGGUUGAUUCCGGUAACGAACGAGAUCUUGGCCUUUUAAUGACAGCUUGAUCGGUUUGUAGUCCAAUGCUGAUGCGCUUGCGUACUCACGUUGUAUGAGAUCUUGACAUGUACUUAAAGGGACUAUGCGUGUUUACAGUGCAUGGAAGUGCGAGCCUAUAGCAGGUCUGUGAUGCUCCUAGAUGUCCUGGGCUGCACGCGGCAUACAAUGGUGAAGAAAACGAGUUUGGUUUGUUUGAGCUCCUCGUGCGAAAUCAUUGGGAAAUCUGUGUAACCUUCAUCGUAAUGGGGAUAGUUGCUUGCAAUUAUUUGCCUUGAACCAGGAAUGCCUUGUAGACUCGACUCAGCAAGUCGAAUCGAAUACGUCCCUGCCGUUUGUACACACCGCCCGUCGUUGCAAUCGAUCGGUUCAAUGCUAGAGGUUUUCCAGAGGUGAGAUUGCUCAGUCUACUGUCUGUUUUGCUUAAGUUAAUCAAUAGCCUUGAACUAGAGAAUGCAAAAGUCGUAACAAGGUAAGGGCGAAUUC
rnacentral:rRNA from 1 species